UUGCCCUACGGGGCGCAGCAGUGGGGAAUAUUGCACAAUGGGGGAAACCCUGAUGCAGCAACGCCGCGUGGGUGAAGAAGUAUUUCGGUAUGUAAAGCCCUAUCAGCAGGGAAGAGAAUGACGGUACCUGACUAAGAAGCCCCGGCUAACUACGUGCCAGCAGCCGCGGUAAUACGUAGGGGGCAAGCGUUAUCCGGAUUUACUGGGUGUAAAGGGAGCGUAGACGGCUGCGCAAGUCAGAAGUGAAAGCCCGGGGCUCAACCGCGGGACUGCUUUUGAAACUGUGUAGCUAGAGUGCAGGAGAG
rnacentral:rRNA from 1 species